UAAAGAGCGGAACUAGAACUCAAAUGACACCACUUAGCCAUGAGACAAUCUAUACUUCAUAAAUAGCCACGUGUGUAUGUUACCUUGGAGACCUUGAGCAGUGUUUCUGCUUCUCCUACUGAUAAGAAUCUGUACCCAGAGACACUGGAAAUGCUUCCACACAGUUGAUGGAACCCGAGUUUGAGAAGGAAGCUGAGGGUUGAGAGGUUCAGGCAAGUGAUCCCUGUCCUUGCUGCUGUCAUUGUAGCUAAUGGUUCCGUUCUCAAAAAACUCCUGGAAAAUCUUUCUUCAAAUUGCAUAUCUGGAAAGUGAGAUGUUGUAGCCAAAUACCUGACAAAAAGCAAUUUAAGGCAAGAAAUCACACAGUCGGUCUUAACAAGAAGAUGAUGGUGACAACAGCCUGAAGAGGAUGGCUCCAUCACUCCAACAAUCAGGAAGCAGAGCAAACAGACAGAAAGUUGAGCAGACUCCCAAACUUCAAGGU